AAUAUAGCACAUUAAGAAAAGUAUUAAAUCCAGAGAAAAAUGUAGAGUAAUAAACAUAGAUGGGGAAGGAUAGAUACAUUUUUCUUACUCUAAUUUAUGCCUUACUGUUUUCUGCCACUUAACAAUUGUAUGCUGCCAUUUUAUAGUUUAUUAUGUUUGGGGGAAUUUAUUUAAAUGCAAAAAUAAACCCAGCGAAAAUGACUUUAAUCGGUGUUUCUAGCUAUCUUAAGAAAUUUUUGAAUCAGCCAGCUUUCACAGUCACCUAGGUGGCAGGUUAACUGUAUUGCACAGUGUAGUAUUGCAAAGUAAAGAUAAAUUUGAUUCCAUAAUUUCUCAUGUAAAGAGAUUGAACCUUGUGCUCAGACCAGAUAGAUAACAAGCAAUUAUUUCCUUCUGUGAUGGAAAAAGAUUUAUAGUGAAGCUUAUGGUUCCAUAACAGAAUGGUGACCCAUGUCAUCUAAAGUGUAUAUAUGGUAUAAAAUGUCUUAAAUGCGAUAGUCCCAGCUAUAUAAGCUCAAUAUUUCCAACCUACAUUUUCAAAUUCCACUUGGUAGCUUUACUGAAGUACUGAGAAUAACUCCUUUUAAGUUUUGUUUGCACCAUUUUUGUGACUAUUUUAAUGAAGUGGGGUGUUUUUCCUACUCGGACGAGUUAAUAUGGGUCCAUUUUUGAGUACUUUUAAUUGUUGACAAUCAGUAAGUCUCAUUUAAUUCUCUGCAUGUUCAUCUGUAAAUAAAAAUAUUAGUACGUAUCUUCAGUGGGUAGUACACUAUUUAUACAGACACUAGCAAGGAGGCUCUCUCCAUUUCUGAUCUUGGAAUUACAAAGUAAGUUUUAUGGUUUUGCUUUUUAAAAAUCAGUAUUUCAGUUACAUACUUGUUUUUUAGUUUAAAAAUGUUUAAUAAGUCAUGACAGUGGUCAGAAAAUCUACAACAAUUUUAGAGCAAUUUUUUCUAUACUAUGGCUAUGUAAACAGUCUGAACCUGAGACUUUUUAUCUUUCAAGUUGAAUGAUUA
rnacentral:lncRNA from 1 species